CAGCAAAGAUUACAUCACGAUGAGAUGAUGGUGGUGCACUAUGUGGUGUGGUGUAUGUAUGGAUGGAUGGUACUUACUUACAAAAUCCAUGAUGCGAGCAUAAUCAUUCAUCAAAACCAGUACCAGAGAGUUAUGGAUGUGGAUGUGGAGUGGUAACACUUGAACUUUUCAUACAUCCGUACUGCUGGUGAAAGUAGAUAGAAUUUCAACUUGGGGAAAGGAGACAUGAAACUAAAACCACAAAAACCCACCACCACGUUAGUUAAACAAGCAAAGACCAGCUUAAAAUGGAGCCAUUUCCAAACUCAAACGAGCCUCAGCUUCCAAAUGAGCUUGGCUGCGAGAAAGUAAAAUCAAAGGAGUUAUUGCAUAUCUUUUAUAACGUUUUGAUGAAGAGAGAACAGAACCGGGCUGUGUGUGAGAGAGAGAAAAAGCAGCAUAUAAAGUGAAGUCAGCCGAAAGAGAUGAAUUUCUAAAUUGGAUAGAAAAAGGUGGUGGAAAGAGAGAGAGAAAUAAAUCAUAAAUUUCAAAUAUUACGUCCAUCAACCCAAUUUAUUCGGUGGUGCGGUUACACUCUGGUGGUGUGGUUGGUGAAUUGCGUAUAACUGAAAUUUCCCAAGAAAUGCGAAACAUUGUCGUCAUCAACGUAGAUAUUUUUUUCCCAACAUAUUUUUCACAUAUUACAAUUUAUUCAUUGAAUUUGACAAGAAUCAGAGUCAUUUCUCUUUUCCUCGGUGGUGGUAUUAAGCAUCCAAGUAAAAAAUUGUUCCUUGUCCUUUUUCCGGACAGGCGAGGAAAAGGAAAUUCCGUGCAGGCUAACCAGUCAAGGUUUCAUAUCCGUCUCUAUUUUUUAGAGGAGAAGAAGAAAAAGUCUUAGUCAGCCCCAACUUAUCGAGUCAGAUUUUGCGAGACAACUUUCACCAGAAAAUAUAUCUCGCCAACGACUUUGCAGGAGCAGGAGGAGGAUGCAUGCAGGGGAAAUAUUGUGUGUGUAUUUGUCCAUGUCGCAUGCAUGUAAGUGUCUUUUAGACUUCUCCCAGUUUUAGUUAAGGUCUCUCUCCUCAAGGACGGGAUACAUGGAGAAAGUAAGCAAAAAGGAGGAUGAUGUUUUUGUCAUGGGAUGUUACAUCCAUGUUGGUGACACACUGCUUUCCCUCAGCCUGUCGGCCUGAUAGUUGGGGAUGAUGUUUCUCCUCUAUCAUCAUGGCAUCUUCUGCCACUGCCACUGCACACAAGCUCAUCGCUCCAUGAUGUGGCACAGAUCUCUUCAAGUUUUUCCAGAGAAUGAGACACAGAUUGGAAUUGAAUUGGAUGGAGGGAAGGUUGCUCUGUCGAAUUAAAUGACGAUGAGAUUGACAUCACUUUGGACGACGGAGAGAAAGCCAUUGUGCCAACGAAGCUCAAGUGGAAAGCAGGGGAAAAGAUAAUGAAUCUCUUCUUCUUCCAUCUCUGCACAGUUAAGGAACUGAGAAAUCAUCUCUCUCUUUCGGAAUGAGUGAGUGAAAGCAAAUUUCUCUUGGAUCCAAUUCUUCAAAUGACGACUGACUCAAAUGGUUGAAGACGGUAAAUAAGUAAAUAAAUAAAGAUAUCCAUCUACAUUUCUGCUCACAUCACAAGAACAAGAUUGAGACGGAGGAGAGAUGAUGAUGUUGUCUGCCUCUAUUUCUGUCUGUCUGUAAUGAUGCUCAAAUAUGGAAGAAGAAGAAAGGAAGUUUAUUCAAGGGGAAUGAAAGACAGAGUAGAAAGAGAAAGUAUACAAGAAAUUUUGUAAAAUUGACAGAAUGCCGUCAUCAUCCGAGGAGGAAAGCUGAUGAGUUAAAUUGCUUGCUACACGACAGAAGACGGACUUUUACUUGAAUAACAAACAACCUUGAAGGAACAAGAAGAAGAAGCAGAUUCCACGAUACAGACAAAAGUAGAAAGUAAGGAAAGGUAGGAAAAAGUUGUUGGAGGUGAAAGGAGAUCAGUCAAUCUGCUUUAAACCAAUCUUCUUAAAUCUUUUCGGAGGAGAAAAGUCAGGUGAAGAGUGUUGAUGUUGAUAUGUUACUUGCUCCGUGUUGAUUCUUGGACGAGUUGUUGGUGAACUACGGAAAAGAGAAAGUAUUUACAAAGAAAAAAGAAGACGUGUUCAUCGUGACGUGACAGUUAAUGAAAUUAUUUAAUUAUUUGUAGCAGGAAACGGCUAAUUUUUAUCUCGUUUUCUCUCACUGUGGUCUCAAGUGGUCGUUCAGUUGGACUUGGACCACGAAGUAAAGAGGAUGGGAUUUGGAUACAUAAUUUUCAAAUGGCUUAAGAUAGCUUUUUAUUUUGACUUUGAAUGCGUAGGAGGUUAAGGAUUAACCUUUACAACCUUUGUCACAAUGAAAUUGGUCAAUUUGAGACAUGAUUUUCUAAGAUGACGUUCCUUGUCAUUAUUCUUGAUAAGAUCAAUUGGACAGAAUAAGAUGAUAAACUACUUGUCUUGGCGUCUACUCAAAGAGAAGCUCGGUGUGGAGGAGGAGUGGAUUGAUUAAGCAAGAACUUUUACACUCGACAGAUUAUUACACACAGGUUUUGGGCAAACAAGCGUUUGAGCUGUUUUCAUUAAACAUGAAAGAGAAAGUGAGCCAAGUGAAGGUCAAAUUUCCCCAAAAUGUAAAUGCAUUGAUCAAAGUAAUAAAUCGAUGAGGGUACAGCCGACCGUCGGCGGUGACGCAAAUGUAUGGGAGACAAAUUUGCGUGAUGUAAUUUUGGCGCACGUAAUGCGUUUAUUUAUUUUAAAAUGCUAUACAUAAUCUGUGACAGUAAUUACUAGUGAAGAAGAUGAAAAUACUUAAUGUUACUCGUAUAUGUAUAUUUAAGUACGUGAUGUAUUGAGAAUCAUGAGGAGGUUUGAAAUCAAUUAUUUCAACAAAUAUUGAAAAGAUACAGUGAAGAAGUUCGUAAACAAAAAUAA